rnacentral:rRNA from 1 species
UCAGACGAUGCGUCAUGCAUAUCAAUAAGCGGAGGAAAAGAAACUAACAAGGAUUCCCUUAGUAACGGCGAGUGAAGCGGGAAGAGCUCAAAUUUGAAAUCUUCAAGGUUUUACCUUGACGAAUUGUAGUUUAAAGAAGUGUUUUCUGUUGAAGUUUUGGUAAAAGUUCUUUGGAAUAGGACAUCAUAGAGGGUGAGAAUCCCGUAUUUGACCAUUAUUUUCAGCUGUGUGAUACACUUUCAAAGAGUCGGAUUGUUUGGGAAUGCAGUCCAAAAUGGGUGGUAAACUUCAUCUAAAGCUAAAUAUUGGCGAGAGACCGAUAGCGAACAAGUACCGUGAGGGAAAGAUGAAAAGAACUUUGAAAAGAGAGUUAAACAGUACGUGAAAUUGUCAAAAGGGAAGCGUUUGACACCAGUGUUGUUUUCUCGAAAAUCAAUUAAAAAGAGUUAGAUUUUGUUGUGUAUUGACCUUAACAGCUUGCAUUUCAAUUUUCUUGCUUUUUUUAAUGCACUUUUCGUUUAACAAGUCAACAUCAGUUUCUUUUGUUGUAAAAAGGUCAUUGGAAGGUGGCUCUCUUUUCGGAGAAAGUGUUUAUAGCCUUUGACUCCUGCAAUCGGAGAGACUGAGGUCUGCAGCGUAGAUCCUUCGGGGUUAGAUACAUUUGUGCUAAGUUAUAGCUUUUUAUAGACAACUUGUUGACUAUGAUUAGUCUUGUAGCUUACUCGCUUAUGCUAUUUUACCUACGCUUAGGAUGUUGAGUCGUAGAGCACGCAG